UGUAAACAUCCUACACUCUCAGCUGUGGAAAUACAAAGCUGGGGGAAGGCUGUUUACU
rfam:Xenopus tropicalis strain Nigerian Chr05_contig_3035, whole genome shotgun sequence.